GACGAAGGGGGCAAGCGUUGUUCGGAUUUACUGGGCGUAAAGGGCGCGUAGGCGGCAAUUCAAGUCAUCUGUGAAAUCUCCGGGCUUAACUCGGAAUGGUCAGGUGAUACUGCUUUGCUAGAGUGCAGAAGGGGCAAUCGGGAAUUCUUGGUGUAGCGGUGAAUGACGUAGAUAUCAAGAGGAACACCUGAGGUGAAGACGGGUUGCUGGGCUGACACUGACGCUGAGGCGCGAAAGCUAGGGGAGCAAACGGG
rnacentral:rRNA from 1 species